AGUGAACGCUGGCGGUAGGCCUAACACAUGCAAGUCGAACGGCAGCACAGUAAGAGCUUGCUCUUACGGGUGGCGAGUGGCGGACGGGUGAGGAAUACAUCGGAAUCUACUUUUUCGUGGGGGAUAACGUAGGGAAACUUACGCUAACACCGCAUACGACCUACGGGUGAAAGCAGGGGAUCUUCGGACCUUGCGCGAUUGAAUGAGCCGAUGUCGGAUUAGCUAGUUGGCGGGGUAAAGGCCCACCAAGGCGACGAUCCGUAGCUGGUCUGAGAGGAUGAUCAGCCACACUGGGACUGAGACACGGUCCAGACUCCUACGGGAAGCAGCAGUGGGGAAUAUUGGACGAUGGGCGCAAGCCUGAUCCAGCCAUACCGCGUGGGUGAAGAAGGCCUUCGGGUUGUGAAGCCCUUUUGUUGGGAAAGAAAAGCAGCAGGUUAAUACCCCGCUGUUCUGACGGUACCCAAAGAAUAAGCACCGGCUAACUUCGUG
rnacentral:rRNA from 1 species